CCUACGGGCGGCAGCAGUGGGGAAUAUUGCACAAUGGGGGAAACCCUGAUGCAGCGACGCCGCGUGAGUGAAGAAGUAUUUCGGUAUGUAAAGCUCUAUCAGCAGGAACGAGACAAGACGGUACCUGGCUAAGAAGCCCCGGCUAACUACGUGCCAGCAGCCGCGGUAAUACGUAGGGGGCAAGCGUUAUCCGGAAUCACUGGGUGGAAAGGGAGCGUAGACGGCUGAGCAAGCCUGAAGUGAAAGGCGGGGGCCCAACCCCUGGACUGCUUUGGGAACUGUACGGCUGGAGUGCAGGAGAGGUAAGUGGAAUUCCUAGUGUAGCGGUGAAAUGCGUAGAUAUUAGGAGGAACACCAGUGGCGAAGGCGGCUUACUGGACUGUAACUGACGUUGAGGCUCGAAAGCGUGGGGAGCAAACAGGAUUAGAUACCCGAGUAGUC
rnacentral:rRNA from 1 species